rnacentral:rRNA from 1 species
UAGGGAAUCUUCCGCAAUGGACGCAAGUCUGACGGAGCAACGCCGCGUGAGUGAAGAAGGAUUUCGGUUCGUAAAACUCUGUUGUUAGAGAAGAACAGCGCCUAGAGUAACUGUUAUGCGUGUGACGGUAUCUAACCAGAAAGCCACGGCUAACUACGUGCCAGCAUCCGCGGUAAUACGUAGGUGGCAAGCGUUGUCCGGAUUUAUUGGGCGUAAAGCGAGCGCAGGCGGUCAAUUAAGUCUGAUGUGAAAGCCCCCGGCUCAACCGGGGAGGGUCAUUGGAAACUGGUUGACGUGAGUGCAGAAGAGGGGAGUGGAAUUCCAUGUGUAGCGGUGAAAUGCGUAGAUAUAUGGAGGAACAACAGUGGCGAAGGCGACUCUCUGGUCUGUAACUGACGCUGAGGCUCGAAAGCGGGGGGAGCGAACAGG